rnacentral:rRNA from 1 species
UACGUAGGGUGCGAGCGUUGUCCGGAAUUAUUGGGCGUAAAGGGCUCGUAGGCGGUUUGUCGCGUCGGGAGUGAAAACCCAGGGCUUAACUCUGGGCUUGCUUUCGAUACGGGCAGACUAGAGGUAUGCAGAGGAGAACGGAAUUCCUGGUGUAGCGGUGAAAUGCGCAGAUAUCAGGAGGAACACCGGUGGCGAAGGCGGUUCUCUGGGCAUUACCUGACGCUGAGGAGCGAAAGUGUGGGGAGCGAACAGG